rnacentral:SRP_RNA from 1 species
GCCGGGUGCGGUGGCAUGUGCCUGUAAUCCAAGUCACUGGGAGGCUGAGGUUGGUGGAUCAAGUGAGCUGAGGAGCUCUGGGCUGCAGCACGCUAUGUCGAACGGUGUCCACGCUAAGUUCGGUAUCGAUAUGGUGUUCCUGGGGGAGCCCGGGACCACCAGGUUGUCUAAGGAGGGGUGAACCGGCCCAGGUCGGAAACGAAGCAGGUCAAAUCCCCCGUGCUGUCCAGUAGUGGGAUAAUACCUGUGAGUAGAUGCUGCAGUGCAGCCUUGGCAAAACAUCGAGACCUAAUCUUUU